rnacentral:rRNA from 1 species
CGUCAAGUCAGCAUGGCCUUUAUGUCCAGGGCCACACACGUGCUACAAUGGCCGAUACAAACCGUUGCAAUCUCGCGAGGGGGAGCUAAUCCGAUAAAACCGUUCUCAGUUCGGAUUGUAGGCUGCAACUCGCCUACAUGAAGCCGGAAUCGCUAGUAAUCGCGGGUCAGCAUACCGCGGUGAAUGUGUUCCUGAGCCUU